UAUCAGCACUUUUUCCACGGUAUUUAAAAUAUUUUAUUGCUUAUCAAUCUAUUACAUCUUUUUAAGCAGCGGCCUCACUAUAUAAACCUAUAUGUAAUUGGCAUCAAAUGUUAAUUUAGUAAACUAUCUUCUAGAAAAUGCUUGGUGUCACUUCAGUUGUUACUUUCGCUAUAUUGAGCUUCCUUCAGGCGGGAGAAGGAGAUUGUAUGAUUUUGGUAAAUAGAGCCCGUAAUGUACUAGACCCAUAUUUUGCUAAUAUGGUACCUUUUCUACGAUAAGACAGCAAAGUAUUUUGUUAAUUAUUUUGGUCAAAAUGUAGUAAUCAUACAAAUGAGCAAUAAUCUAAAUAAAGUUCUUGUUAAUUAAAUCGA